UAUACACUGUGAGGGGAUUGCCAUGAGCUUGCGAAUAGAGCAGCAUGGUGGUUGGAGUGAUUUUAUUGUGUGAGGUACUGUGACUGUUUGAAGUUGAGGUUUGGCAAUUUUAUUAUAUUUGCACACGCAAAUUUUAUAUUACAUAUU